GGUGGAUGGAGGAGGAACGGAGGGAGACAAUCCAGGCGAUUGCAGCAUCACCGCAGGAUGGGAGCCACGGCGGGCCGAAAGAACCGGGCUGAGGCGGUGGCCACCCAUAGAACUCGGAGGACAAGGCCGCCGGUCCGCGGGCUGAUCAGCCGAGGCGAGGGACACGGCACGGAGGACAAAAACGCUUCCUGGGACCAAUUAGGGAAGACAAACUGCCGCCGACUCCGAGAAGAAAGCCUGACUGACACAAGGCGUGUCGGAUCGGCCGGUUUCUUCUUCCCCCGGGCCCCGCUGAUUGGACUCCGAGUCCAGCGGUCCGGCCGCUCUAUUCAAUGUUCCUCCCGUUUAAUCCAAUCUCUCAAAUACUAGAGCGCAAGCGGGACGAUGGCACCGAGGGCUUGCCGAGGCGGCGGCGUUGGCAUCGCAAGUUGAGCUCUAGUGUUCUACAUCUACCCUGUAGAUCCGAAUUUGUCUGCAACAAGACUACAAAUUCGGUUCUAGAGAGGUUUGUGUGGUACAUACGAAACGACAACUCGGCGAUGGAGCAGCGGCUGCGAGCUUCACGAGGGCGACUUUGGAAGAACACGGGUCGUUUGUAACUACAGUUGUUUUCAGGAAUGCAGCGUUUUUUUUUUUUUUUUUAUUAUUAUCAUUUAGUAUCAAAUGGCAUUGUCGUGUCGUAAUGUCUUGAACGGAGACUUGCUGGGUGCGUGCUUUUAAUUUCUAUUUGAUUUCUAAAUUAAUAUUUUUUUGUGUUUGUGUUAGAGUGCGUGGAUGGGUGCUUGUUGCUACGGAAAUAAACAAUCACAGCUAAUUUCCUUUCAUUUGAUUUUCCGGUGUUGUAGUCUUUUUCUUACAGGUGCAAUCCAGCUGGUGAAGUAUCUUGAACCAGGAAAAAGUUCGCCUCGGCAUAUGGUCUUGUUAUUGACAUUGUAAAGCUUUCAGAUAUGCAGUAAACAAAAGAUUACAAUUACACCCCCAAUGAUAAGAAGAAACACCAAGACAGGGAGACGACACCCGUGUGCCUUAGUUUCCUCCCCCUUUGUGUCCUUCAGUCUAAAAUAUAUUCUUUCAAUGUGCCUUUUAUACUACAUUUUCCAGAAUCGGGAAGGGAAUAUUGAAAUAGUUUAAAGCAGCGAACCUCCGGGUUUUAUCAUAAUAUAUGUUUAGGCAUAUGGUUUUAUUUUAGCAUAAUAUAUGCUGACGUACCUAGGUUGUCGUUCUUGUCUCAAUUGCACAAAUAAAUAAUGAGCUUACGGUGUACGUAGAGGAACUGGUAGGGAAUAAGGUCGUACCAAGGUAACAAUUGCACAGCAGGGGUAGCGCUUGCGUGCAACACGUAAUCCGAAGAUUCCAGACGAGCGGCAUCGAACAGAAUGAAGUCCUGUUUUUCAGAAGCAACAAAACUUGGUGGGAAGACAUUUGAAGGAGCGUUGAGACUUGCGCAGUGGGAGGUGGUGGACUAAACAUUUAAUAAGUUUCCCUUCGGCGUCGAAUUGCACAUAUCUUAACAACUUGAUUUUCAUGUGUCAGUUUUAUUGUUUUGUUGUUUUCUGUGUUUAUAUGAGCAGAAGUGUGGCUAUAUACUGUUCCCAAGUUAGGUGAGACCUCCGAUGUACCAGCCUGAUGACUGAAAGCCUAAUUAGCAUACGCGUAGCGCAGCUAAUUAUGUUAACGCAUCUCGCCUCACGAUUCGUUCUUCGGGGUCCAAAUCUAACUAACGCCGUAAUUUCAUUGGCUGGAAACCUGAGAAGUGAACGGUGGUGUUGCAUCGCUACUUCAGUUAUGGCAUGUCUGACGUUUCCCCAUUAAUGACGCUACUGCUGUCUGAACUUUGGGAUGGAUCGCUUCUCCGCAGUUCUUAUGUUACAAAAGACUACAGUAAAUAGAUCACAGAAAUAUCUAAUAGUCAUUUCGUGUUGACAGUGGUAUAGACCAAUAUGUAUCGAAAGUAAUCUGAAAAUGUAAAGAAAAACAUCGCUCAGAAUUUACGGAACUACACUUGUGUUCCAGAAUCACGACUGACAAAUAAAAAACCGUGCUUUUUCUUUUUAAUUGUUAUUUUAAAAUACUUAUCACAAUUGCUCUGGUUAACGUACCACCAGCGUGUUUUUUUGUUGUGUUUUUCUGUUUGAAUGGUUUAAUAAAUUUUUAAUUUGAUA